UGGGCGAAAGCUGAUGGUGCGACGCCGCGUGAGGGAUGAAGGCCUUCGGGUUGUAAACCUCUGUCACCGGGGNAAGAAACGCUCAAGUUAACAGCUUGAAGCCUGACUUAACCCGGAGAGGAAGCAGUGGCUAACUCUGUGCCAGCAGCCGCGGUAAUACAGAGACUGCAAGCGUUAUUCGGAUUCACUGGGCGUAAAGGGUGCGCAGGCGGCCGUGUGUGUGAGGCGUGAAAGCCCGGGGCUUAACCCCGGAAUUGCACCUCAAACUACACGGCUAGAGCAUUGGAGAGGGUAGCAGAAUUCACGGUGUAGCAGUGAAAUGCGUAGAUAUCGUGAGGAAUACCAGAGGCGAAGGCGGCUACCUGGACAAUUGCUGACGCUCAGGCACGAAAGCGUGGGGAGCAAAAGGGAUUAGAUACCCCUGUAGUCCACGCCCUAAACGGUGCACACUAGGUCUUGGCGGAUUCGACCCCACCAGGGCCCAAGCUAACGCGUUAAGUGUGCCGCCUGAGGACUACGGCCGCAAGGCUAAAACUCAAAGGAAUUGACGGGGGCCCGCACAAGCGGUGGAGUAUGUGGCUCAAUUCGAUGCAACGCGAAGAACCUUACAGGCCUUGACAUGCAUUAGACCGGCGCUGAAAGGCGCCCUCCCUUCGGGGCUGGUG
rnacentral:rRNA from 1 species